AGGUGGUUUGUCGCGUUGUUCGUGAAAUCUCACGGCUUAACUGUGAGCGUGCGGGCGAUACGGGCAGACUUGAGUACUGCAGGGGAGACUGGAAUUCCUGGUGUAGCGGUGGAAUGCGCAGAUAUCAGGAGGAACACCGGUGGCGAAGGCGGGUCUCUGGGCAGUAACUGACGCUGAGGAGCGAAAGCGUGGGGAGCGAACAGGAUUAGAUACCCUGGUAGUCCACGCCGUAAACGGUGGGUACUAGGUGUGGGUUUCCUUCCUUGGGAUCCGUGCCGUAGCUAACGCACUAAGUACCCCGCCUGGGGAGUACGGCCGCAAGGCUAAAACUCAAAGAAAUUGACGGGGGCCCGCACAAGCGGCGGAGCAUGUGGAUUAAUUCGAUGCAACGCGAAGAACCUUACCUGGGUUUGACAUGCACAGGACGCCGGCAGAGAUGUCGGUUCCCUUGUGGCCUGUGUGCAGGUGGUGCAUGGCUGUCGUCAGCUCGUGUCGUGAGAUGUUGGGUUAAGUCCCGCAACGAGCGCAACCCUUGUCUCAUGUUGCCAGCGGGUAAUGCCGGGGACUCGUGAGAGACUGCCGGGGGCAACUCGGAGGAAGGUGGGGAUGACGUCAAGUCAUCAUGCCCCUUAUGUCCAGGGCUUCACACAUGCUACAAUGGCCGGUACAAAGGGCUGCGAUGCCGCGAGGUUAAGCGAAUCCUUUUAAAGCCGGUCUCAGUUCGGAUCGGGGUCUGCAACUCGACCCCGUGAAGUCGGAGUCGCUAGUAAUCG
rnacentral:rRNA from 1 species